UACAGAGGGGGCAAGCGUUAUUCGGAAUUAUUGGGCGUAAAGGGCGCGUAGGCGGCCUGGUAAGUGGAAGGUGAAAUCCCUCGGCUUAACCGAGGAACUGCCCUCCAAACUGCUUGGCUUGAGUCCGGGAGAGGUGAGUGGAAUUCCCAGUGUAGCGGUGAAAUGCGUAGAGAUGUGGAGGAACACCAGUGGCGAAGGCGGCUUUCUGGUCUGUAACUGACGCUGAGGCGCGAAAGCGUGGGGAGCGAACAGG
rnacentral:rRNA from 1 species